rnacentral:rRNA from 1 species
UACGAACGGUCCAAACGUUAUUCGGAAUCACUGGGCUUAAAGCGUCCGUAGGCGGCUCGGAAAGUAGGGUGUGAAAUCCCACGGCUCAACCGUGGAAUUGCGCUCUAAACUAUCGAGCUAGAGGGAAGAUAGAGGUGAGCGGAACUGAUGGUGGAGCGGUGAAAUGCGUUGAUAUCAUCAGGAACACCGGAGGCGAAGGCGGCUCACUGGGUCUUUUCUGACGCUGAGGGACGAAAGCUAGGGGAGCGAACGGG